UGAUCAUUGUAUUCCCAUUUCCGUCUUUCUUCAUCUCUGUCUCUCUACCCUCUCCAUCUUUCGCCUCUCCCUACUGAGCUAGCAUCCAGCAACACCAAGGAAGGUAGCCGGCGACGCAAUGGUGAACCAAGAUUCUACCUCUUCCCCACUUGGCGGUAACAAGUGCAUGGCAACGAUGGAGGAUCCCGGCAGCCUCAAGCAGGGCAUUUAGAUGAGCUUUCUCCGAUCGGUAGCUCUAUUCUCCCCGGCAGCACCUUUUCUCCCUCAGCGGAGGUGAGCUAGGCGAAGAGUGGCAGCAGCGGCAGCGACGGGAUCGUGACCGGCGGAAUUCCACGACAGCAGCUGUGAGCUUGAGCGGCGAAGAACGUGUGAGGUUUCGGCAAUCUCUGAUUCGGUUUUCCGACGAGCAGCGGCAGCUCCUCCGGUAAGACCGACGAUACGCGAUGGCUUCUCUAUUUCCGGUAAAGCUGAGCGACGACGGAGCCUUCCCUGUUUCGUGAAGUGAGAAGCGGCCAGCAGCCAGCAGCACUCCGGCGUCCUCUCGUUAGCGGAUCAGCGACGGUGAAGGUGGCGGAGCGUCCUUCCCAGUCCGACGUAAGCAGAGCAACGACGCCAUCUCUCCCUCGUUCGGCGUCCAGCAAGAAGAAUGGCAGCUCGCGUAGGAUGGCAUCGGCGUGUCUUUCCCAACGGCGUGCACGAAUGCAUGGCGGGUAUCGACGGUAGCAUCUGGACCUUGGUUCUCAAUUUCUAGCGUCGCAGUAGAGGAAUGAAGUGGAUUAGCGCCUAAUGUCUUCCUAAUGAGGUUCAUGAUUAUGGACCUAGCUUAUGAGCUGAGCUUAGAGUUGGUGUUUGCUCUUGGAUUAAUACGCUACAAGAGGUAUGGAAUAAGUCUAAGCGAGAGCGUGUUAGAGCUUACCGAUAUGAGGCUGCUUAGACUUAGCUUACGUUGUUUAGACUUUGUGUUUUGGGCCUGUGUGCUGAUGUUGAGAUUAUAUACUCUUGAUUAGAUUCUUGUUAUGAUGACAAUGUUUUUAGGAUUCAUACUUUAUGCAGUUCAGUUUUUGGAUAGCCUGUGCAUCUAGGCCGUGUUUUCUUACUUAGAUGUGGCAUGAUACCCCUUAGAUUAUAAAUCGCUUCCGCUAUGUUGUGUUUGAUAGUUGAGAUAGGCAGCUUUUGUGUUAAAGUUUUAGCUAUCUCAGCUUGUGAAAGGUUGGGGUGUCACACCUAUGUCUGACUAUAACCCGGAUAUGAAAGAAAGUGACCUCAUUCAUCCUGUAUCAUCUUAUUGGAAUCUAGAGUUUCUGAAUACUAUGUUUUUACCGCGUGAUGUGGGUCUGAUCAUUAAAAUUCAUGUUAAUGUCUAGUAUGAUGACAAAUGGUGUUGGAGGGGUGAUAUAAGGGUGUUGUACUCUGUCAAAAAUGGGUAUCGAUCUUUGUCUGCUUUGCUUGUCAGUACUGGCAAUGCUUCUUGGAGUUCAAUUUGGAGUUUAUUGCAUGCGUAAGGUUCUUCCAGUUCUGAUAGCGCUGUUUGGCCGUCGAGUGGUAAUGGACGUAACUUGCUCUCUUUGUCGUGACCAUGCAGAAACACUUGACCAUUUGAUGAAGUAUUGCGCAUGUGUCGCACCUCUCUGGCAGAUAAUAAUGAAUGGUCACAUCCCGGAUUUUGGGGACAAUUGUGCAGCUUGGCUCUUCGACGCUUUAUCACAUGUUAACAAAUAUUGUGCAGGUCUAUCGCAGCUUGGAAGCUUGGCAGGGUUUGGAAAAUGGAACGCCGGUUUCGGGUGCAGUUAUGCAUGCUGUGCAGACUGGUGCUACUGAACAUGAUGGUGAUAUUAGGGUCUUUGUGGAUGCAGCAGUAUACUCAAAUGUUAACCAUGCUUAUUUCGGUUUUGUGAUUUUGAUUUCAAUCGGUAAUUACUAGGCUGCCCGGAAUGGUCCUCUACGCUGCAUGAAUGAUGUCUAUCUAGCUGAAGCGUUGGCGGUCAAAGAAGCACUCUCAUGGGUUAAAGAUCAAGGCUAUACCUUUGUUCGUCUGUAGACUCUAAAAUCCUGAACUCUUUUCCCGCCGACCAAUUUCUAAAAAUUUGGUUCAGUUGAACCAAGCUUUAUUCUGAUUGUUAGACUAUGUGUCAUUUGCUAAAUGGCUCAGGGAUUGAUUGGUCUUAUGUUGGUUGUGCUAUAGGUGCAUGUAAUGGGUUAUAUUGACACUUUUAAUUAGUGCCUUUUGAGUUUGUUCCUAGAUCAGUGAAUAAGUGUGCUCAUGCUUUAGCUAGAGCGGCUAGUUCGCAAAUUGGUCCUACUUGUUGGAUUUCAUCUAUUCCCACUUGUAUUGAACAUUUACUUUAAUGAAAGUUUGUUGCUUUGUUUUAAAAAAA